rnacentral:lncRNA from 1 species
GUCAUGGUCUUCUAUCUUUUUUCCCAUUCUUACUCGGAGCUGCACACGAUGUGUUGCUUGUGGCUCCCAUCUGGUCAAUUUGGAUUUUAAGCUUAUCUUGUUCUUCCAUUAUUUCUAUUAACGCCUGACACAGUUGACUAUUUAACAGCUUUCCUAUUUCUCACAGCUUUUCCAUAGAAGAAACCUUGUUCCUCAGAUCCUGCACCUCUGUUGAUACUCGUUUAGCUUUAACUUUAGUGUCUGAAUCACUAUCUGUCGGCUCCACAAUCU